ACAGCACUCACUUCAAACUAACAACAUUUCACUUGAGCAAUCUGCUAAAACAUUUUACCAGUUGAUCAGUUAGUUGGAGAAGAAAUCUAACUGCAAUUUGGUAAACUGUUUGAGCCAUUGCUAUUGUGAUACCCCAAAGGUCACUGGAUAAGCACAGUAAAAGCCAUCACUUUAGUUAUAACUUAUUUUAUAUUUUCAGACAUUACUGCCAUGUUGGUUGGUCAACCGGGACGAAAAUCAAAAACUUUGCAGAUAACAACAAACAGAUAAAGCAAGCAACUUUGGUUCCUAUCAAUUGAGCAGUUUCAAAGGAGAAGUUUUUGUUUUACAGAAAUGUUUACGGACGACGGAAAUAAAGUGAUGGUAAAAGAUUAAAUAGACCAUAGGGCUAACUAA
rnacentral:lncRNA from 1 species